rnacentral:lncRNA from 1 species
AAAUGGCUGAACAAGCUGAAAAUUUAUUAAUUAGCCUGAGAAAUUUUUUUUUUUGUAAAUAUUUUGAAAAUAUGGUCUCAGUGUAUUACAGCAAAACCGUACUGCUGAAAUAUAAACUAAAUUACAGAUUUUUUUACAAAACCCAAGCUUAAGCCAUAGAAACAAAGACAUAGUCAUUUCUAGUCAUUAUAUAUCUGUACUGGCUCUGGAUGGCAUGGAGUUAACUGUCCCUGCAACGGCCCAUACAGUGCUGUGCUCUCCACUUGUAGCUAGAACAGCAUUGGUACCACACCAGUGUCUUGUCUAUUGCUGAGCAGUGCUGGCACAGCACCAAGGCUCUCUCCAAGCCCCCAGAGCCAGUAGGCAGGGUGUGAGCAAGAGGUGGCAGGGGACAUCAUCAGGGCAGCUGACCUAAACCAACCAAAGGAUUAUUCCAUACCAUAUGAUGUCAUACUCAGGAAUAAAAGGUGGGAAAGGGGAAGGAGAGGGGGGAGCUCUCGUUAUGAAGAUGUCUGUCCUCCCAAACAACUGCUACGCAUAUUGAGGCCUUGCUUCCUAGGACAUGGAUGAACAUCACUUGUUGAUGGGAAGUAGACUUUUUUUUCUCUCUCUGUGAUUCCAUGCAGUCUUUUUUUUUUUCCCUCUUCCUUUUCCCUUUAAUUCCUUAUAUCAACCUGAGACGCUUUUUGUUUAUUUGUAUUUGUUUGUUUAUUUUUCUUUCUAGCAUAGUUUCUUCUUCCCUCUUCUGAGGAAGGGGAAUGAGAGCGUGGUUGUGGUGGAGUUCAGAUGCCCAGCAGGGUAAAACUACCUCAAUAUCUUUCUGUACUAAGGAAUUAACAUCUUAUGAAAAUGCAACAAAGUCCUAUCCCCUACAACCACCACCCCAAGAAGAAAAUUACACAGUUCCAUUUGAAGUAUGCCAUCAUCUGUAGACAAUGAUAAUAAAGCCUUUAGGAAACUGCAAGAAAAAUGGCUCAUUCCUUGUCAUAAGUUUGUCACUGGAAAGACAAAAUAAAUUAGAACAAUUCAGAAGCUUUGAGAAUCUCCAAACAAUGUCACUUCUGCUAGAGAUACUCCCAGAGAAGAGGACGGCCCAUUAUUCAAUGUGUUUACAAGUAGAACAAGAUGCAGAAAUGAACAAAUUGGCUACGGGAAGCAAGUCUGUCUUUACAAAGACAUAG